rnacentral:rRNA from 1 species
AUUGAACGCUGGCGGCAGGCCUAACACAUGCAAGUCGAGCGAGCGGCGAACGGGUGAGUAAUGUAUGGGGACUGCCCGUUCGAUUGGGAUUACUACUGGAAACGGUAGCUAAUUCCGCAUACUAUCGGAUAACCCAUAUGGUAUUAGCUAGUAGGUGGGGUAAUGGCUCACCUAGGCGACGAACCCUAGCUGGUCUGAGAGGGUGAUCAGCCACCUGGGGAGGGAGACGCGGCCAAGAGUCCUACGGAGGGAGCAGUGGGGAAUAGUGGACAAUGGGGGGGAGCAUGGUACAACCAGCGGGCGUCUAUGAAAGAGGCCCUAGGGGUGUAAAGAACGUUCAGGCGUGGGACGUUACCGACAGAAGAAGCACCGGCUAACUACGUGCCAGCAGCCGCGGUAAUAC